AUGCCAAAAGGAAAGGCCAAGAGGAAGGAGGUGGCUCUGGCCCUUGGUGUCAUGAAGAAACAGGAGGCCAAGAAAGUGGUGAAUCCCCAAUAUGGACCUCACUCACUUUGUGAAAUGGCCCCGCUAUAUCAGGUUGCAGUGGCACAAAGCCAUCCUCUGUAAGCAGCUGAAAGUGCCUCCUACAAUUAACCAGUUCACCCAGGCCCUGCACCGCCAAAUAGCUACUUAGCUGCUUAAGCUGGCCCACAAGUACAGACCAAAGACAAAGCAAGAAAAUAAGCAGAGGCUAUUGGCCCGGGCUGAAAAGAAAGCUGCAGGCAAAGGGGAUGUCCCCACUAAGAGACCACUUGUCCUCCGAGCAGGAGUUAACACCAUCUCCACCUUGGAGGAGAACAAGAAGGCUCAGCUGGUGGUGACUGCACACUAUGUGGAUCCCAUCGAGGUGGCUGUCUUCCUGCCUGCCUUGUGUCAUAAAAUGGGGGUCCCUUACCGCAUUAUCAAGGGGAAGGCAAGACUGGGAUGUCUAAUCCACAAGAAGACCCGCACCACUGUCGCCUUUACACAGAUUAACUCAGAGGACAAUGGAGCUUAGGUUCAGCUGGUGGAAGCUAUCAGAACCAAUUACGACAGACAAAACGAAAUCCACUGUCACUGGGGAGGCAAUGUCCUGGGUCUCAAGUCUGUGGCUUGAAUUGUCAAGCAGGAAAAGGCAAAGGCUAAAGAACUUGACACCAAACUGG
rnacentral:lncRNA from 1 species